UUUAUGGAGAGUUUGAUCCUGGCUCAGGAUGAACGCUGGCGGCGUGCCUAAUACAUGCAAGUCGAGCGAACAGACGAGGAGCUUGCUCCUUUGAUGUU
rnacentral:rRNA from 1 species